rnacentral:tRNA from 1 species
GGCUAUAGCUCAGCUGGGAGAGCACCUGCUUUGCACGCAGGGGGUCAGGAGUUCGAAUCUCCUUAGCU